UGAAAAGUGCGGACUCGUUUCUGCCCUCUGCCAUCGUGGUGAAGGUUUGUUGAGCAACGGACCGCUUCCCUAAGGAGCAGGGUGCUCGGCAAGAACCUACGAAGAGCAUGGGCGUGGAGGCUGACCGCCUCGAGUCCGGCCCCAGGAUUCAGCUUGGAGCCGGGACGCGCAGGUCACUGGGUGCCCGCACCUGUGUUCCCUCAUCUGCAGUGGCUGUGGGCAUCAGCGUCCUCAUCUGAGCUGUUGUAGGGAUGAACCCGCGGACCCAGGUGCAGGAGCGUCCUCCUGCGUCCGUCCCUCUGCUGUCAGCUGGCCCCGCGGAGGGGAUGGUGCGGACGGCGGCAGGGAGGGCACGCAUCGUGGCCACACGAGGCGCCCGGGUGGAUAAGGAACCACUUGUGCUGCCCACGUGCCGCGCAGGUCGGGAUCGUACGAACACUCGGACGCAGGAAAAGCCCACGCUGGGAGCGCCCGGAAGGGUCUUCAACACCACCAAGAUUUUAAAUCUACAUUUGAGAGAGUUUUAGCCAGAUUCACGGAGGGUCAGGUCCCAGCUGUUUCCAGUUAUCGACACGGUAACGUCCAUACGUGAGCCGGUGACGACCAAACAGUUGAGGAAGGAACGAGGAGGAAAAGCCGGCGUCCCCAGCACCCGCCGGCUCAGCUCAGCUCAGCUGCCUCCUGUUUCUGGGUCUUCGCCUGAGUUGCCCCUGAGCUCCAGAGGCAACACACCGAUUUCAGGGGUUGCUCUGCACUGCUGACUCGUCUGCUGACGCCCGCCCGCUCCCAUCUUUGCUCAUUAUUGUUUUUGUUGCUUUUAAAACUUUAGGCAGGUUUAUGCGACUUCUACCCAGUUUAUAAUACAUCAUGAACUGGAUUAUGUGGGCACUGUCGUAUUUGUGUGUAUGCUGAAAAUUAUACAUUCCAUCCUUUCUUAACUAUUUCUCCUUUUUAAGUUUAUGUAUUUAUCUUGAGACGGGGCGGGGGUGGGGCACAGAGAGAGAGAAUCCCAAGCAGGCUCCACACUGUCAACACAGAGCCCGACGUGGGGCUCGAAUCCACUCGCCGGGAGAUCACGACCCGAGCCGAAACCAAGAGUCGGACACCCAACCGACCGAGCCCCCCCAGGCGCCCCGUUGUAACUAUUUCCAAGUGCCUGGUUUAGUGGUCGUGAGUAACAGCACUGCCGUCCGUCCCCAGGACGUGUCCACCUUCCCAAACUGAGACCUUGCGUCCACGUGGGACACUAACUGCCCAUCCCCCUCUCGUUUUUGGGUGACCCGCUUUUUGGGUGACCUGGUGAACGGGUUGGAGUGACCCACGCGGGGACUGUUUUCUCCAAACUCCGAGGAAGCGCACACGGUGUUGUAGGAGGUCAGGUGUGCCAGCUUCCCCUCCCCCUUGGAAGGGCGUCUCAGCACGCCCGUGCCGCUGGGCCCCCGGGGUGGCACUGCCCAUGAACGUGUUUUCAGAAAAUCGUUUCGUUGUGGUAAAAUACCCGUGACAUAAAAUUCGCCAUCCUAACCG
rnacentral:lncRNA from 1 species